GCACAAGCGGUGGAGCAUGUGGUUUAAUUCGAUGCAACGCGAAGAACCUUACCUACUCUUGACAUCCUGCGAAUUUGGUAGAGAUACCUUAGUGCCUUCGGGAACGCAGAGACAGGUGCUGCAUGGCUGUCGUCAGCUCGUGUUGUGAAAUGUUGGGUUAAGUCCCGUAACGAGCGCAACCCUUGUCCUUAUUUGCCAGCGCGUAAUGGCGGGAACUCUAAGGAGACUGCCGGUGACAAACCGGAGGAAGGUGGGGACGACGUCAAGUCAUCAUGGCCCUUACGAGUAGGGCUACACACGUGCUACAAUGGUCGGUACAAAGGGUUGCCAACUCGCGAGAGUGAGCCAAUCCCGAAAAGCCGAUCUCAGUCCGGAUCGGAGUCUGCAACUCGACUCCGUGAAGUCGGAAUCGCUAGUAAUCGUGGAUCAGAAUGCCACGGUGAAUACGUUCCCGGGC
rnacentral:rRNA from 1 species